AUUGAACGCUGGCGGCAUGCUUUACACAUGCAAGUCGAACGGCAGCACGGGGGCAACCCUGGUGGCGAGUGGCGAACGGGUGAGUAACACAUCGGAACGUGCCCAGUUGUGGGGGAUAACCUAUCGAAAGGUAGGCUAAUACCGCAUGAGCUCGGCAAGAGGAAAGCGGGGGGACUCAGCGAUGGGCCUCGCGCGACUGGAGCGGCCGAUGUCCGAUUAGCUAGUUGGUGGGGUAAAGGCUUACCAAGGCGACGAUCGGUAGCUGGUCUGAGAGGAUGAUCAGCCACACUGGGACUGAGACACGGCCCAGACUCCUACGGGAGGCAGCAGU
rnacentral:rRNA from 1 species